rnacentral:rRNA from 1 species
AGAGUUUGAUCCUGGCUCAGCCUGAACGCUGGCGGCGUGGCUAAGACAUGCAAGUCGUACGGGUGUAGCAAUACACCAGUGGCGAACGGGUGAGUAAUGUAUCGCUAACGUGCCCUUCGGUUUGGGAUAGCCGUCCGAAAGGACGGGUAAUACCGGGUAAGACCACAAUCCCGCAUGGGAUGGUGCUCAAAGGGAAACCGCCGAAGGAGCGGGCGAUAUCGUAUCAGCUAGUUGGUGAGGUAACGGCUCACCAAGGCGACGACGCGUAGCCGGGCUGAGAGGUCGGCCGGCCACAUUGGGACUGAGACACUGCCCAGACUCCUACGGGGGGCUGCAGUAACGAAUCUUCCGCAAUGCACGCAAGUGUGACGGAGCGACGCCGCGUGGAGGACGAAGUUCUUCGGAAUGUAAACUCCUGUCAGGGGCAGCCAAGUUCUGAGGCGCCCCAGAGGAAGGCACGGCUAACUCUGUGCCAGCAGCCGCGGUAAGACAGAGGUGCCAAGCGUUAGGCGGAAUCACUGGGCUUAAAGCGUGUGUAGGCGGGCGGGCAAGUACCUUGUGAAAUCCCACGGCUCAACCGUGGAACGGCUGGGUAUACUGCCUGUCUUGAGCCAGCUAGGGGCGACCGGAACAGACGGUGGAGCGGUGAAAUGCGUAGAUAUCGUCUGGAACGCCAAAGGUGAAAACAGGUCGCUGGGGCUGAGCUGACGCUGAGACACGAAAGCCAGGGGAGCGAACGGGAUUAGAUACCCCCGUAGUCC